rnacentral:tRNA from 1 species
GCGUCGCUGGAUCGCCGGUACGGUUGCCGGCAUCCUGGCGGGCGCGGCUUGCCGUGUUCGACUCGCGGGCGACGCG